CUGGGCGUAAGCGCGCGCAGGCGGUCCUGAAAGUCGAAUGUGAAAGCUCCUGGCUCAACUGGGAGAGGCCGUUCGAAACUUCGGGACUUGAAGGCGGGAGAGGCAGAUGGAAUUUCCGGUGUAGCGGUAAAAUGCGUAGAUACCGGAAGGAACACCAGUGGCGAAAGCGAUCUGCUGGCCCGCCCUUGACGCUCAGGCGCGAAAGCUAGGGGAGCGACCGGGAUUAGAUACCCCGUUAGUCCUAGCUGUAAACAAUGGGCACUAGGUGUUGUCGGUAUCGACCCCGGCAGUGCCGUAGCUAACGCAUUAAGUGCCCCGCCUGGGGAGUACGGCCGCAAGGCUAAAACUCAAAGAAAUUGACGGGGGCCCGCACAAGCAGCGGAGCGUGCGGUUCAAUUCGAUGGUACGCGAAGAACCUUACCCAGACUUGACAUGCAAGUGGUAGCGAGCCGAAAGGUAAGCGACCCGCAAGGGAGCUUGCACAGGUGUUGCACGGCCGUCGUCAGCUCGUGUCGUGAGAUGUUGGGUUAAGUCCCGCAACGAGCGCAACCCUCGGGAUCUGUUGUACCCCUCAGAUCCGACUGCCGAGAGAAACUCGGAGGAAGGUGGGGAUGAUGUCAGGUCAGCGU
rnacentral:rRNA from 1 species